UUAACUGCUGGUUUUUGUUUCAGUCAAAACAGUAAAAGCAAGAUGGAAAAAUCUGAGAGCGUAUUUUUUUAAAGAAUGUGGAAAAAUUGAUAAGCCAAAGAGCGGAGACAGCGCUGAUAAAAUAUGUAAAAUGACAUGAAAUUUUUGUAAGGGCAGAAUAUUUGCAAGAGAUGGUAAACAAAAGCAAAUGUGCAGUCGAUGUGUGGAGUGCGACAACAUUAUACUCGAUAAUUUCAAUUAUUGCGAGUGCUGUGGCCUAGAAACAAUUAGGCAGUUAAGAAUAACCAAAGCUCGGACACUUUCAAACCUUUUUCCAAAAAAUCUAACUGCUCCUGUUGCAUCUGUUAAAUCACUAGCUGCCUCUACAAUACAACCUGACAAUUCCCAAGAUUUAU